UCUCUUCAACUGCCACACCCCUCCCCUUUCUUCCUAAACGCACCCCCCAUGGAGAGGAGAGAGCAUAAGAGACCUGGGAUGGGAGAGAGGGAGCCGCGCCCUGCCGCCGUCUAACCCGUCUCGCCACCGUCAUCGUCAUGUGCUAUCUGCGUCUCCAUUCAUGCCUGCCGGUCUAUCAUUGAGCCGCCAUCAUUAUUGCCAAGAGAAAGGGAUGCCGUCGACGCUGUUCAGGGAGGACGGAAGAAUCGUGCGAGAGCCAGGGGAGGAGGGAGCUUCUAUUGCAUCGCCGACGUGCCUCCAUCACUGCCGAGCUGCCUUGCUACCGCUAGCUCUGUCGCGUCAGGUCGCCAUCGAGGGAACUGUCACCGUCACGGCUGUAGUCAUGGGCUUCAAAAGGAAGAAAAUGCAAUAAGGAAAGGAGGAGCUAUGUCCCGCUUCUGCCGUCGUCGUUGCACUCCACCGACGCGCCAGGUCAUCGUCGUUGUGGACAGAAGCCACCGCCAUCGCCAUUUGGAUCCUCUGUGGGGAGGAGCAAUGCUAACGUUGCCGGAUAUUAGCCACUGGAACCUUUGCUAGCUUGCCCUAGCUGCCGCAUCGUCACUGGAACUGUCGUUGCUCCAUCCUUUGAAUUUUUUGUGGUACAAUGAGUUUUCUUGUCCCAAAAUCCUUACCAUUGUUAUUUUGUUUUAAGUUACUAAGAUCUGUGCGACAUUGAUGCGUUGAGUUUUGGUUCUUGCAUUUCGCGUUUGGAGUUGCUGUUAUUGUUGCGGAAGCGUUAUAGAGCUGUGGUUACGACUGCCGCUGUUGUGGGCCGGGAGAAAAAGUGUUUUAUGGCUUUUGGAUUUUGAUUAUUCGAGAAGAAUAGAGGAAUAAGAAGACCAGGGUGAGGAGGUUGCAGUUGCGUGUAGUGUUGCUAGAGUAAUAGAGCAGUGGAGGGGUGGUCAUCGUCUUGCGUCAGAGCUCGACAGUAGAACAGAGGUUGCUACGGUUCUGCAUCUUUGGUUCGUAAAGACGAGGAGGUGAGACAAGGUAAUUUUUGGCUGAAAUUGAGGGACUUGAGCAAAACUCUGAAAAAUGCUGACAAAAGGACUGCUGAUGCUGUUUGAUUCUGACCUCCCUGCACUCAAAAUGGAUUUUCUAGAGCUACAAAACUCUAAAUGGCGUGCUUUCGAUAGCGUUGGAAAGUAGACAUCCAGAGCUUUCCAGCAAUAUAUAAUAGUCCAUACUUUAUUCGGGAAUUGAUGACGUAAAAUGGCGCUCAACGCCAAGUACAUGCUGCUGUCUGGAGUUAAACGCCAGAAACACGUCACAACCCGGAGUUGAACGCCAGAAACACGCUAUAACUCGGCGUUCAAAUCCAAAGGAAGCCUCAGCUUGUGGAUAGAUCAAGCUCAGCCCAAACAUACACCAAGUGGACCCCGGAAGUGGAUUUAUGCAUCAAUUACUUACUCAUGUAAACCCUAGUAGCUAGUCUAGUAUAAAUAGGAUAAUUUACUAUUGUAUUAGACAUCUUUUGAUCACUUUAGAUCUGAGGAACAUCUCUGGAUGCCUAGUCCUUAGACCUUCAUGGGGGCUGGCCAUUCGGCCUUGCUUGAACCUUUCACUUAUGUAUUUUCAACGGUGGAGUUUCUACACACCAUAGAUUAAGGGUGUGGAGCUCUGCUGUACCUCAAGUUUCAAUACAAUUACUAUUAUUUUCUAUUCGAUUCUCUUUUAUUCU